AUACGUAGGGUGCGAGCGUUGUCCGGAAUUACUGGGCGUAAAGAGCUCGUAGGUGGUUUGUCGCGUCGUCUGUGAAAUUCCGGGGCUUAACUCCGGGCGUGCAGGCGAUACGGGCAUAACUUGAGUACUGUAGGGGAGACUGGAAUUCCUGGUGUAGAGGUGAAAUGCGCAGAUAUCAGGAGGAACACCGGUGGCGAAGGGGGGUCUCUGGGCAGUAACUGACGCUGAGGAGCGAAAGCAUGGGUAGCGAACAGGAUUAGAUACCCUGGUAGUCCAUGCCGUAAACGGUGGGCGCUAGGUGUAGGGGUCUUCCACGACUUCUGUGCCGUAGCUAACGCAUUAAGCGCCCCGCCUGGGGAGUACGGCCGCAAGGCUAAAACUCAAAUGAAUUGACGGGG
rnacentral:rRNA from 1 species